UCAACGCAUUUCAGUUGAUUGGUGUCAACUCUCAGAAGCUUAACCAAUCAAAAGCAAUGUAACUAGCGGGCUGGGUGUAUUACAAACCCUUAUAAAGAUUUAAUUUCAAGUGUUUUCAGUUCGUAGACGUAAUCUCAAGAGAACUAAGUUGAGUUAAAAAUCUUCAGCAUAAUAUAUCUGCGUAAAAUAUUUACAUACAAAAUGAAAGGUCAUUGCGUCAUCAUCUUCGUUGUGUUAAUUGCGAUAUUAGCUGGAAUGGCAAUGGUCAGCGCCCGUUCAAUCAUACUUCCCCCAGAGUGUGGAAAUGCCUGUUUAGCACAUUAUGAAUCAAAUCCUAAUGAAACCCGUUCAGUUUCAAAAUACAUAGGAUGCAUCAAAAAGUGCUGGGAAAAGGCUAGAUUUAACCCUUGAAAACGUUGUUUCUCAAAUACAAUUGAAGAAUCGAGUUGGAGAAUCAUGUUAAUAUAGACAACGUGUCCAGUUCUUGAAAUGAAAAUACAAAGAAUCUCUUACAGUUAUUGCAUGCUUCUACAUUUUCUACAUUUUGUCUGCCUAAAUCUACAUGAUAAUUAUGAAAGGAAUAUAGUUUUUUGUGAAAGCAAUUGAUGUACUUUAAUGAAAAUAAAACAUUUUAAAAUA